GCUGCCGUGGCCGAACACAUGAGGCAUCCGCCUUCUAAGCGGAACGAUGCAGGUGGGAAUCCUGCCGGCAGUGCCA
rnacentral:tRNA from 1 species